rnacentral:tRNA from 1 species
CAUUAGGAAGCUUGCAAGUAGCACUAGCCUUUUAAACUAGAAAAGGGACCUUUUUUCCCCCAAAUGA